rnacentral:rRNA from 1 species
AGAGUUUUGAUCGUGGCUCAGAUGAACGCUGCGGCGUGCUUAACACAUGCAAGUCGAACNAUGAUCCCAGCUUGCUGGGGGAUUAGUGCGAACGGGUGAGUAACACGUGAGUAACCUGCCCUUGACUCUGGGAUAAGCCUGGGAAACUGGGUCUAAUACCGGAUAUGACUCCUCAUCGCAUGGUGGGGGGUGGAAAGCUUUNUUGUGGUUUUGGAUGGACUCGCGGCCUAUCAGCUUGUUGGUGAGGUAAUGGCUUACCAAGGCGACGACGGGUAGCCGGCCUGAGAGGGUGACCGGCCACACUGGGACUGAGACACGGCCCAGACUCCUACGGGAGGCAGCAGUGGGGAAUAUUGCACAAUGGGCGCAAGCCUGAUGCAGCGACGCCGCGUGAGAANAUGACGGCCUUCGGGUUGUAAACCUCUUUCAGUAGGGAAKAAGCGUAAGUGACGGUACCUGCAGAAGAAGCGCCGGCUAACUACGUGCCAGCAGCCGCGGUAAUACGUAGGGCGCAAGCGUUAUCCGGAAUUAUUGGGCGUAAAGAGCUCGUAGGCGGUUUGUCGCGUCUGCCGUGAAAGUCCGGGGCUCAACUCCGGAUCUGCGGUGGGUACGGGCAGACUAGAGUGAUGUAGGGGAGACUGGAAUUCCUGGUGUAGCGGUGAAAUGCGCAGAUAUCAGGAGGAACACCGAUGGCGAAGGCAGGUCUCUGGGCAUUAACUGACGCUGAGGAGCGAAAGCAUGGGGAGCGAACAGGAUUAGAUACCCUGGUAGUCCAUGCCGUAAACGUUGGGCACUAGGUGUGGGGGACAUUCCACGUUUUCCGCGCCGUAACUAACGCAUUAAGUGCCCCGCUGGGGAGUACCGGNCGCAAGGCUAAAACUCAAAGGAAUUGACCGGGGCCCGCACAAGCGGCGGAGCAUGCCGAUUAAUUCGAUGCAACGCGAAGAACCUUACCAAGCGCAACCCUCGUUCUAUGUUGCCAGCGCGUGAUGGCGGGGACUCAUAGGAGACUGCCGGGGUCAACUCGGAGGAAGGUGGGGACGACGUCAAAUCAUCAUGCCCCUUAUGUCUUGGGCUUCACGCAUGCUACAAUGGCCGGUACAAAGGGUUGCGAUACUGUGAGGUGGAGCUAAUCCCAAAAAGCCGGUCUCAGUUCGGAUUGGGGUCUGCAACUCGACCCCAUGAAGUCGGAGUCGCUAGUAAUCGCAGAUCAGCAACGCUGCGGUGAAUACGUUCCCGGGCCUUGUACACACCGCCCGUCAAGUCACGAAAGUUGGUAACACCCGAAGCCGGUGGCCUAACCCCUUACGGGGAGGGAGCUGUCGAAGGUGGGACUGGCGAUUGGGACUAAGUCGUAACAAGGUAACC